CCUACGGGGGGCAGCAGUGAGGAAUAUUGGUCAAUGGGCGCGAGCCUGAACCAGCCAAGUCGCGUGAGGGAAGACGGUCCUAUGGAUCGUAAACCUCUUUUGUCGGGGAGCAAAAGACGCCACGCGUGGCGUUCCGAGAGUACCCGAAGAAAAAGCAUCGGCUAACUCCGUGCCAGCAGCCGCGGUAAUACGGAGGAUGCGAGCGUUAUCCGGAUUUAUUGGGUUUAAAGGGUGCGCAGGCGGAAGAUCAAGUCAGCGGUAAAAUUGAGGGGCUCAACCUCGUCGAGCCGUUGAAACUGGGUUUCUUGAGUGAGCGAGAAGAAUGCGGAAUGCGUGGUGUAGCGGUGAAAUGCAUAGAUAUCACGCAGAACUCCGAUUGCGAAGGCAGCGUACCGGCGCCGGACUGACGCUGAGGCACGAAAGCGUGGGUAUCGAACAGGAUUAGAUACCCGGGUAGUC
rnacentral:rRNA from 1 species